UAUUCAAGUGACCACGGUACAGGUGUAGGUCCUCUAUUCAAGUGACCAUGGUACAGGUGUAGGUCCCUAUUCAAGUGACCAUGGUACAGGUGUAGGUCCCUAUUCAAGUGACCAUGGUACAGGUGUAGGUCCCUAUUCAAGUGACCAUGGUACAGGUGUAGGUUCCUAUUCAAGUGACCAUGGUACAGGUGUAGGUCCCUAUUCAAGUGACCAUGGUACAGGUGUAGGUCUUGUGUUCAAG